AGGUGUUCGCCACAGCAUUGGAAAUUCUGAUGAGCACAGUCCCUCUGAUGUCAACUGACCUGUGUCAUGUGGAGUAAUAACACACCAGCCACGGUGUUCUACUCAAGUGCACGAGGCUAAGGAGUCAAAGACUGAGCCACGAGUCAGGCGUAAAUUACUCUUCCUUGAAGUUUUUCCCUCUGGCACUUUGGAGGGGUCACCGAGCUGUACUGCCCCCUGCUGGACUCCAACUCUUCAGGCGCAGCACCCACCCAUUUAUUUUUUCUCAGCAAGUAUCUGCACUAUGGUAGGUCCUGUCGAU